CGUGUCGUCUGAAAUAGAAACAGUCCAAUCCCAAAGUUGGUUUUGUGUGCGUGCGUGUGUGUGUGUGUGUGUGUGUGUGUGUGUGUGUGUGUAUGUUAGGUUUAUGUCCACCACCAUCCCCUCCCUUCCUCUCUCUCUCUCUCUCUGCACUUCCUCUCCUUUGUGCAUCUUGGACUCCUGAAGGCCACUCAGAGCAUAGAUGCGGCAUCUUAUCAGGGCUCGCUUGGUCACCUUCUCAUUGAAACCGCAAGUCCAGAGAAGCUAAGUCUUGAUGGAAAUCUGGGGCAAAGAACUGGGAGCCUCUAGCCGGCCCCCUCCGCGCCGAGGCGCAGUCGGAUCCCGGAGCGCUUCUGCGUAGCGUCAGCGCGCCGGAUUGGCUUCCCAUGGGACCUGCAACUGUCUGGAAACAAAAAAAAAAAAAAAAAAAAAACCAACCCUACCAAAAGGGGGAAUUUAAAGGAGAGCAAGAAACCAUGAAGACAGAACCGAAAACGCCAGAGUAAAGACUUGCCCAACUGAUUUGAAAGCGUGCGUAAUUUUGCCCAGCGUACUUUUCUCUGCCUGCUUCCUUGGACCCAAUUUCCUUGUUCUUGUUCUGGAAGGUUUUUUGUUUGUUUGUUUGUUUUUGUUUUUGUUUUGUUUGUUUGUUUGUUUUAACUUUGCUUUACUUUGCCCGGGAACUGCAUGUUUGCAGACUCCUGCAGGCUCUCUACCCUUGGUAAUGGACAGGGAAUAGCACCCAGCUGGAGGCUUGGCUGGGGAAAAAAAAAAAACCCUGGCGUCACCCGCUGGUCCAGUCAAGGCACUCCCCUCCGGGUACCGCAGGAGCAGGCAGAGCCACUGCCCUCUGGGCUGCUGGUUACUGGGGUGAUCUGGGCCGGAGUGAUCUUAUUGAAUUUAUUAAUGACCAGAGAGAUUUCUUAAGCCAAGUCCCCAGAGAAUGAAUCCACAAUGAGUAAAACAGUUGCCGCUCCCUGGCUCUGGCCAAGGUUGCGAGUUGGGAAUCAUAGCUUCCUCCAGUUGGAGCACGAGGUGAGCUCACUGGUGGGCUCCGCUCUCUGGGAUUUGUGGUCUGAGCUGCUGGAACUUGAACUAAUAGUCUACGCUGCAACACGCUGUUGAAGACACUUCUGACUUAGUGUAAAUCUCUACUAAUAAUGGUACUGUCCUAAAAGCUGGCAGGAGUGUGGACAGAUUCGCGCCAUUCCUGUAAAACUGAUAACUUCUUCGAGAGUCGCUCAUCCGACUG